rnacentral:rRNA from 1 species
UGCUGCGAGAAGUCUUUAGCUUGCUAAAUAUAGUGAAGUGGCGCACGGCUGAGUAUCGCGUGGGUAAUCUACCUCCGAAUCUGGGAUAACAUUGCGAAAGCGAUGCUAAUACCGGAUAAUAUCUUUUAAACUUCGGUUUUCGGGAUCAAAGGUGACCUCUAUAUAUAAGUUGCUGUGUGGAGAUGAGCCCGCGGACCAUUAGCUUGUUGGUAGGGUAAUGGCCUACCAAGGCCGCGAUGGUUAGCUGGUCUGAGAGGAUGAUCAGCCACACUGGAACUGACACACGGUCCAGACUCCUACGGGAGGCAGCAGUGAGGAAUUUUGCGCAAUGGGGGAAACCCUGACGCAGCAACGCCGCGUGAGUGAUGAAGGCUUUCGGGUCGUAAAACUCUGUCAAGUGGGAAGAACAUGUUUGAUGUUAAUACCAUCUUACACUGACGGUACCACUGAAGGAAGCACCGGCUAACUCCGUGCCAGCAGCCGCGGUAAUACGGGGGGUGCAAGCGUUAUUCGGAAUUAUUGGGCGUAAAGGGCGCGCAGGCGGCCUCUUAAGUCAGAUGUGAAAGCCCGGGGCUUAACCCCGGAAGUGCAUUUGAAACUAAGGGGCUUGAGUAUGGGAGAGGGAAGUGGAAUUCCUGGUGUAGCGGUGAAAUGCGUAGAUAUCAGGAGGAACACCGGUGGCGAAGGCGACUUCCUGGACCAAUACUGACGCUGAGGCGCGAAGGCGUGGGGAGCAAACAGGAUUAGAUACCCUGGUAGUCCACGCAGUA